UACAGAGGGUGCGAGCGUUGUUCGGAAUUACUGGGCGUAAAGCGUGCGCAGGCGGUUCGUUAAGUUCGUUGUGAAAGCCCCGGGCUCAACCUGGGAACUGCAAUGGAAACUGGCGGGCUUGAGUGUGGCAGAGGGGGGUGGAAUUCCACGUGUAGCAGUGAAAUGCGUAGAGAUGUGGAGGAACACCGAUGGCGAAGGCAGCCCCCUGGGUCAAGACUGACGCUCAUGCACGAAAGCGUGGGGAGCAAACAGG
rnacentral:rRNA from 1 species